rnacentral:rRNA from 1 species
AGCGAACGCUGGCGGCGUGCCUAAUACAUGCAAGUCGAGCGAAUGGAUUAAGAGCUUGCUCUUAUGAAGUUAGCGGCGGACGGGUGAGUAACACGUGGGUAACCUGCCCAUAAGACUGGGAUAACUCCGGGAAACCGGGGCUAAUACCGGAUAACAUUUUGAACCGCAUGGUUCGAAAUUGAAAGGCGGCUUCGGCUGUCACUUAUGGAUGGACCCGCGUCGCAUUAGCUAGUUGGUGAGGUAACGGCUCACCAAGGCAACGAUGCGUAGCCGACCUGAGAGGGUGAUCGGCCACACUGGGACUGAGACACGGCCCAGACUCCUACGGGAGGCAGCAGUAGGGAAGCUUCCGCAAUGGACGAAAGUCUGACGGAGCAACGCCGCGUGAGUGAUGAAGGCUUUCGGGUCGUAAAACUCUGUUGUUAGGGAAGAACAAGUGCUAGUUGAAUAAGCUGGCACCUUGACGGUACCUAACCAGAAAGCCACGGCUAACUACGUGCCAGCCGCCGCAGUAA